rnacentral:lncRNA from 1 species
CUCGCUCUCUCUCUCUCUCCCUCCGCUCCCUCCACUCUCGCCUCUACAUAUAUAUAUACAUACACACUUUAUAUAUAUAUAUAUAUGUAUAUAUUAAACGGGAAAGGGGGGGAAAAAAUCCUAAAAGAAAUGGGGGUGGGGAGGGAGAGGAAGGGAGAACCUUUGGUGUCUCUGCGGACAGGCAGGUGGAAGAGAAAAGCUGAAAAUAAUUAAGCCGGUUUUUGAGGAAUCCUUAGGAGAGGGGAAAAACGCAGUUAAAAGCCAGUAAAUCAUUAGAUCCAAGCAGACAAUCAAGUCUUCUCCUUUAAAAAAAAAUAUACAGCAGGGUUCAGAGUAGCUUUCCCAGCAGCGAAGAGCAAGAAUGGUCUUCUUCAGAAAGAUAUGUUUGUUUAAAAUCCACUCGUCUGCUUUUCUUUCUUUCUCUCUCUUCUCCCCCCACUUUUUUUUUUUUCCCUUUUUUUUUCUUUCCAAAUUCUGCUUCUGAAUCUCUCUCUGUGAAACUAGAUCCAGUCUUUUUGUAGCCAGGGGCUGCAUUAAGGAUUACAUCAGGCUUUUAUAAGCUUUCCAGAUCACACAUUAGAGUGAGAGAGAGAGAGAGAGAGAGAGAGAGGGGGAGAGGGAGGGAGGGAUAGGAGGGAGGGAUAAAAUGCACACACACACAUACAUACACACGCACACGCACAGAUCGGAGCUUUGUAAAACAGGCAGCUAUAGGCAAGGACCCCAACUGCCACCGUAUCGCAUCGGGCAUGUACCGCUAGCCUAUAGGAAGAGAGGAUGGAUGGAAGGAUGGAUGGAUGGAUGGAUGGAUGGAUGGAUGGAUGGAUGGAUGGAGCAGAGGAACCAGCGGGAGCCGGAGCGCGUUGGCAACGCAGCCUCCCCGGGACAGCUUAGCCCUAAGCGGGGAGCCAGGAGGGUAUUUGGUAUAUCAAAGCUACACAGUGAAGGGAUUUCAUUAAUUGAAGCUUAAAGAAGCUCCUAAGCUUCCUGACUGCAUGAGUACCAGUUUUGUGCCAGAUCUGCUAAUGUCUCUGACAAAGUUGGGGCAAACUCACAUCUCCACCCUUGCAGCAGAAACAAUGACCCCCACACCUGAAAUUGAAUAAGAAAAAAACAACAACCCACCUUUGAAAUGAAGGAAAAAUAGUUUCCUGCAGGAACAUUCCCUCCUUCCACAUUUGAAUUUCCCCAUAGCAAGGAGCCCACUAAAAAGUGACAUCUCCAACAGUCAUUUCUAAGUAAUCCCACCUAGUAAUUGACCAAACCUGUAGGUCAUCUUCUUGCCCCUAUGUUUCCAGCACCCAGGGACUACCUCUCAGCUGGUUGACAUAAAAGGAUCCAAGUCAGCUUUUCACUGAUAUGAGAAAAGAUAAGCAAUAAAAAAAAAAAAGCCUCCA